CUGGAAAAAUCAAUAGCCCACGCCCCUCUACCCCCCCUUUCCCUCCCUAAAAAAUGAAGUAAAUAGUUGCUGCCUAAUUCAUUUGAAAAGGUCUUCCCGAAUCGACUUGACGUACAUUGAAAUAUUUGCCACUGGUCUUUACUCAAACAACGAUUCACGCAUAAAUGCAUGACUAAAAAAAGUGUGGGGUAAAUGAUAUGUUUGUCUAGUAUCUCAGAUCCGUUAAAUAACACUUAAAAUAAAUUAAAAAAAACGUGACCCUAUUCUUUUACCAAAUACUUCUUGGAGAAGAAAUACCAUUUGAAACAAACAGAAAAGAUAAAAAUUUAGAGAUCCCUAAUAACUCAAUCCUUUUUUUUCGGCUGUAAGCACGCUGCUGCAGCUAACGUUUUCUAGUGCGUAAUCGAGACAUCUCUAGUAUAUUCAAACUACUGCAAAUUAUAAAAAUGGCUUUCAUAAAGUAGUAACCACUUAACUUAAAAAGGGGAACGGUUAUUUUUUUUUUAUCUGAGUAAGAUUUUUUUUUUCGCGCGUACGUUUUUAUUCCUUUUUUUUCGAUGCUGGUGAUCAAAUACAUUUUUAUUCAAUAUUUAACACUAUAAUGUAUGGGAAAACUCUUUGAUUCAGAAUAUUUCUUUUAUCAUCUGUAUGAUCAUUUUUUUUUUUUAUCAAAUUGGGGAUCGGAAUAUUUCCAUUCCCACCCCACCCCCCCUUUUGAAGUCAAAUGGUUGUUCCCUUACCGCUAGAAAAAUUGUC
rnacentral:lncRNA from 1 species